rnacentral:rRNA from 1 species
CCUACGGGAGGCAGCAGUGAGGAAUAUUGGUCAAUGGGAGAGAUCCUGAACCAGCCAAGCCGCGUGAGGGAAGAAGGCCCUAUGGGUUGUAAACCUCUUUUGUCGGAGAACAAAACCCGGGACGUGUCCCGGACUGCGUGUAUCCGAAGAAAAAGCAUCGGCUAACUCCGUGCCAGCAGCCGCGGUAAUACGGAGGAUGCGAGCGUUAUCCGGAUUUAUUGGGUUUAAGGGGUGCGUAGGCGGUCCGUUAAGUCAGCGGUAAAAUGGCGGGGCUCAACCCCGGCGAGCCGUUGAAACGGGCAGACUUGAGUUGGCGAGAAGUACGCGGAAUGCGCGGUGUAGCGGUGAAAUGCAUAGAUAUCGCGCAGAACUCCGAUUGCGAAGGCAGCGUACCGGCGCCAGACUGACGCUGAGGCACGAAAGCGUGGGGAUCGAACAGGAUUAGAUACCCGAGUAGUC